AACGAACGCUGGCGGCAUGCCUAACACAUGCAAGUCGAACGAGACCUUCGGGUCUAGUGGCGCACGGGUGCGUAACGCGUGGGAACCUGCCCUUAGGUUCGGAAUAACUCCCCGAAAUGGGUGCUAAUACCGGAUAAUAUCUUCGGACCAAAGAUUUAUCGCCUUUGGUUGGGGCCGCGUUGGAUUAGCUAGUUGGUAGGGUAAAAGCAUACCAAGGCGACGAUCCAUAGCUGGACUGAGAGGAUGAUCAGCCACACUGGGACUGAGACACGGCCCAGACUCCUACGGGAGGCAGCAGUGGGGAAUAUUGGACAAUGGGCGAAAGGCUGAUCCAGCAAUGCCGCGUGAGUGAUGAAGGCCUUAGGGUUGUAAAGCUCUUUUAACCGGGAUGAUAAUGACAGUACCGAGAGAAUAAGCUCCGGCUAACUCCGUG
rnacentral:rRNA from 1 species